GCUUGCUUUAACAAUGCUUCCACUCCUUAGUAUGCUACCCCUUUUGGAGAAGCAACCUGGUUCCUAGAACUCCACCAAAACGUCAGAGCAUCCUGCCACACACCAAACCAGUCACAGACAAAAAAAUCUGCACUGCACCAGAAUUUAAAUUCGCAUACAAGGUUUGGUGGUAGAAAUUUGAGGUCAAACAAGGUGAUUUCAAGUAGUUUUAAGCUUUGAAGCAAUGGAGGGACACAAAAGGAACCUAGGAGAGGCACUAGAUCAGAUUAAACACACAAGAAAAAGCAAAAUCGAAGAGCCAAAAGUAGUGCGGUAAACUGUUUGAUAAUUUUGCAAACUGUUUGAUGAAAGUCCCCAAUGAGCUGCGGAUUUAGUGAUUUUCUGAUUUUUUAUUCUUCCAAACUGGAUUGCAGGGGUUUGGUUGCUUUUUAUUGUUUGUUUACAUUUGUAUAAGCUUUGAAAUGUGUUUGUAAACAAAAUACCCAGCUUUUGCCAAUCCAAAACCGAAAUCUAAUUAUGCACAGUUGCAAACAACAAGAAAAACUGCAUUCUGCACUAACAAAUGCAUGUGAAAAUGGUGCUUUGAGAUGCAAUUUUCACAGAUGUGUUUAGACACCUAAAGUGAUGAUUGGAGCAACUUUGGAGGCAUAUUUUGAAGGUGUAUAAACUGUCAAACAGCAAGGAAACAAUCUGCAACCAAAAAUCACUAGUUCUCUUCCAAAAUUAAGCAAAUUUGAUGGUUUAAGAAGUGAAUUUGAAUACCAACUCUAUUUUGACCAAAUGAACAGUGCAUACAGGUUUGGAAUGACAAAAUCAACUUGUUGAAGCAUGCAAAACUCAUAGAAACAAGCUGAUGCAGUACAGGACAACUGCAGUUGUGAUUUAUGCCCAAUAAAGACACUAAAUCUGCACCAAAAUGAGAAAAGUGGCAAUAAAAUUGGAACUGCAGUGGCUAACUUCAAUCGCAGUGAUUCAAAUGGUCAAAUGACACUUCAAAAAGGUUUGUAUCAUCAAAUGUAACAUGUUCAAAGCAUUGAAACAGCCAAGACAUGUGCAGAGCAGAAUUUGACUACUUCACUUCCCAAAAUGCACUAGAAUUUGGUGUUUUGGUGUAUGUGUUUCGGCUAAAUGCACACAAUGACCAUAUGAACAGUAGAAUCAAGUUUCAAUUCACCAAAUAAGAUUGCACAAUCAAGCAAACAGUACCAAAACACUCAGAAUCUCAAAAUGACUUGUUCACUUGCAAUUUUCAAGCAAAAUUGGUGGUUUAAAAGGUGAUUUUGGAUAUUGGCUAUUAAAAGACCAAUUCAACUGUGCACACAAGUUUGUAUUGGUCAAAUAAACUUGCACCAACAGUCCAAACACACAGAAUUACUCAAAUGCACAUAAUCACCAUGGCCGUUGUGAUAAUGCAACAAAAUGCAUUGAAAAUUGCAACAGAUUUGAAAAAAAAAUGCAGAGAAUCAAAGAUGGCUGGAUCAAAAGUUAAUCAAAAUUGGUCCUAAUAACUAGAUCUAGCUUGGAAAAGAUGAGCUAAAAGAAUUAAAAUGCCUAAAACACAUCAAAGAACUGAAGCACGGUGCAAAAGCUGCAAAAUAUGAUGACAAUUUGCUGAAAACAGAGAUUUGAUGAACUCAACUACUCUUUUUGUGAUUUAUUGAUGAAUUUUGAUUCUUAACACUUGAAACAUGUAUAGAAGCAUCACAUAAACUUGUCUCAAGUAUUAAAACACAUGAAUCUGGACAAAAAGAGUGUACACAUGAUCAAACCAGAAUUGAGUUUUGAUGCAGAUUUUGCAAAGUUAAACUCUCGGUCAAUGCUUUAAACUUCUUUGAUCAUAGCUAGGCACUGCCUCAUUGCUUUAUGUGAUCAAUAUACAGCUAUCACUGCACUGACUUUGCUUAAACGAAAAAAAAAAUUGAAAAGCUGAACAGAAUCAAAUCAUGAUAGUGAUAAAACGGCAAACGUUGCACAUGACUUUGACAGAAACUUGAAUUGAUGAAUUAAGAUGAAUUGAACUCAAACAAUGGAAAUGCACCAAUUAAAAUGAUCAACAAAGACAUAAGGAACAGUGAACGAAAGCAAGAGUUCACUCAAACAUGAAAUCAAAUCACAAAUUCAAUGUAACAGUACAUAUAGAACAGAACAUGACGGGAAAAAAUGAAAAACGAAUGGAAUGAGUGACUUAGCUCAUGCAGAACCACGUGGGCGUGCUGGCUCUGACUACCAAAUGAUAGGAAACAUCCUCCACGUUGAGAUGGAAGAGACUCCUCGAUCAGGUUUGGCAGCGGAAAUGGAGAAAGGUUGCAAUGGAUGAAACGCGCACAAGGUGUUUGAUAGAAUGGAUGAACGUGUUUUGGAUGUGGUAUGGUAUGAAGUUCUAGCUCAGACAGCUUUCCUAAGGGGAAAGAAGCUAAAGGAUGCAAAGCUAAAGCUAGCAAAGUUUGAACUUAAAGAAGAAUGGCCAAAAUUCAGCAGCAUUUCAUUACUAUCAUUCAAGUUAAUAUUUACACAUGAGGAAGCUCUCUUUUAUAGAAUAAGAGAGGCUAUGAAUCUUGCUAGGGAAGCUACUAAGAUUUACAAAGCAUGUGCAGCAGAAGCUUUGAUCCACGUGUGUUUCAAUUCCCAUGAGAAACUCAUUUAUCACGUGGAAAGCGUAGAGAAUGUGCUGCAACAAGGGGAAGCCACGGUUGGCUGCUUUGCACAUGGAAAAUGUGGAAAACGUGGCAGCUAGAUUGUAGAAAACAUGCUUCAAAUCAGCUACAUGGUUGGCUGCACAAUGCACUCCUACUUGCCUCCUUUGUGCUUCCUUGAUUGGCAAUCUUCCUAGGAUGUGUAGGCAUAAUUUCCUACUUUUAUUUGUAUCCUACAAAACAAUGUAAAUGGAUUAGAGAAUCUAUCUAAGACUUUAGAUAAGGAAAGUGUUUUGGAAAUCUUUUAUUGUACUUCCCUUUCUUUAGUCUUAGUUGUAGUUGAUGCUUCUUGGAUGGGAAGUCCCUUUAGCGGUUGCCAUCAUGAUCCCUAGACGAAAAAUUGAAAACAAUUGGUAAAUUGAAGGAAACUUAAAGACAAUGGAAAAGUAAAGGUGAGGUCUCCUGGGUGAGGCUUAGACUUUGGAUCUAAGACACACUCACCGUCUACCAAUUUUUAGGUUAUGAGACUUUAAGUCAAGUUAGCAAAUGAGAGAAGAACACUUAUGAGCUCUUCCACCUCACUUGCUUGAAAUGGCUCACUUACAAAAAUUGAAGAAAGAAACAAAAUACAAGGUGAAGAACACAAAGAAAUGAAAAUAGAAAAUAAUAAGGAAGUUUUAAUGUGGCAGCUUUAGUUGCUCUCAAUCAAAAUCUGAUGCAGCAAUUAACAUCUCAAUAGGCUCACAGCUGCAAAGUGGAGUUUCUCUGCUGAGACAGUGAUCACACAGGAAUUCUGCUGUCACGCUGCAAUGAUUUCACUAGCUGCAGCAGCACAAUUUCUCCAUUCCCGUCAGCCUUUCCUUGUGGCUUGUGUAAUCAAUCUCCUAACUUCCUUUGAUGCUUCCUUGCAUGUAUGGAGUCUGAGUUAAAGCACACCUACAUAGCAGGCCAGUUCAGAACUUACACUGCAUCAUGCUACUGCCCGUAAUUACAACAUAGACUGACACCAACACAUAACCUUUUAUCAAACAGGUUGUGUGCAAGAGUUCCAAAAAAUUUUAACAUCAAAUAAUUAAGCAGGUUUUAAUCACGGAAGCACUUCAAAAGGAUCCUAGGAAUAGCUCUAGAUUAGAUUGGACGGACAUCAAUGAAUAACAGCAAGCAAUUGGACCAGAAAAGCAGUUUUCAAAAAAUAUCACAAACUGUUUGUGAUAAUGCUUCAAAGAGCAGUCAACAUUAUGCAGAAUUGGUUAAUUCAGUCUCGGCAAUAACACUUUACUGAAUGCAUUGGUUAAUUUGACUUUUUUAUUGUUUGGAUCUUCUAAAUGAUAUUUUACAGAACCAAGCUUUUACUACAUCCAAAAAUUAACGAAUCAACCAAAUUCAAUUUGACAAACAGAAUGUAUUACUGCACUACUACGGUCUCAACAGGAAUUGACUCAAAAAUUGCAAGUCACAUAGGCAUUUUGCAUAUAACAGCAAUUGGUCAGCUUAGACAGCUUCAAACAUGUUUGAAUGAUUAAAACAAACUUAUUUGAGCACAAUUUCAGUUACAAUUCAUAGCAUAUCAGAAUUGGAGUAUGGCAGUUCUGAUUUAAGUCAUUUUAAACAACUAUGACAGCCAAAUUUUGAAAACAAUUGUAAUUCAACUCAAACACAACAAGAGUGAACUUAGGACAAUCAAAUAAAAUUGCUCAAAGUGGCAGAAAAUGAUUUAGAUGGCUGGAUAUGAUCUAAAGUACUUUAGCCAGUUUUACACGCAGAAAGUAAUCAACUAAGUCAAGUGCAGAUCGAUUAACUGCAAGUAUCAAAGUAUUCUGACUUUGCACACUCAUUUCAUGCCUAAAACAAUUUUCAUUAUGGAACAACUUUCAUGUAACACGAGAAUUAUGUAGAAACAAGUCACUUAACAGCUCCAAACAAUGAAACAGUACACAUAACAAUUGUAGGCAAUGAAACAGUACCACUGAAUUUCAAAAUCAGAUGCAGUGUGAUCUGUUAUGGAUCUACUGAAUUCUCAAAGAUUAUCACCAAUUCAUACACAUGAGCUCAUCAUCUCAAUUGUCAUCGCUCAUAUAUUGUCAGAGACAUGUAUCUCAUAUAGAUUUUCAGUACAAACGCAGAUCACACGGUUUUCAACCAGAUUUUAAACAAAAAUGGAAUUGCACAUGACAUAUGACAUAACAGGAUGGAUGCUCAAAUUAAAAAUGACUCAACCAAAAAUUUCAACCGAUUAAAAUGAAAAGACUCAAUCAAUUAAAAAAAAUAGCACGGUUCAAGACUCAAAGAUCCUAAAAAUGUCAAAACCAAUGAAACAGUAACAGGAAUCAACAGAGACAGUGAAGGAAUGGUGGUGACAGAAUUUAAAUUGCAGAAAGAUGAACUUAUCUCACGGCUCCAGCAUCCUUGCUCUGAAUACCACUUCAUGAGCCACGUAUGGAGAUAGAUCUGCUGAACCGAGAGAAGUUCCAAGAAACAGAGAAGUUGCUGGAUGUCAAGAACACUACGUCAGACUUCAAGCAGAAUCACAGGCAACGGAAGUGAUGUCCAUGGCAGUGGAUGGAUAUGCGAUCUAUGGAGAUAUGGAAACGGAAGCUAUGCUUAGGAGGUGACUACAACUCAGGCAGCCUUCCAUACAAGGAAGGAAGUUGUAGGGAAAGAUUUAAGCUAGGAAUGACUUUCAGAAGGAGAGAUGGCCAAAGCAAAUCUCAGCAGAAAUUCUCAUUUAUCUAAAAGUGAUUUUACAUAUGCUGCAAGAUGGAUUUAUAGGAAAUCCAAUGAGCUAUGUGUGCUGUAGAUGGAUUCCGAGAGAAAUGGAUCUCCAUCCA
rnacentral:lncRNA from 1 species